CGACACCCUUCCUCUCUGGGUGGGAGACACGGCGUCGCGUCUCCUCUAGCCGAUAGCCGACGCCAUUAGAUCGAGCCAGAUCCACUCGAUCGCCGGCGUGGAGGAGGCAGUUAGGGCUCCGGUGGUCACCGACGCACCUUCUCUUCUUGGCGGCUGAAUUAGGUCACGGAUCGGAGGGGAUUAGUGAGUUGUGCUUGGGCUGUAGGGCAGAGACUACAUGUGUUGAUGCUUGAUCAGUAGUCUUCCUGUUUGAUUCCAAUCUUGAUCCGAUCAAUUGAGAGUACUGGAAUUCAACAUGCUGCUGUUCUGUGGAGGUGUUCUUGAUUAAAGGAAGCAUCGGACUACUGUGGAUCAAUGGAUGAGGGUUGUGAGGUUAUGUGGAUCCGAAGUUCUAUUGCUGUGGGAUUGUUUUGGUUCCAGCAGCAUCUCUUUGGCUUCAGAUCAAGAGUAGAGCUUGGGAAUUAAGGACUUUGAUUCGAGACAGA